rnacentral:lncRNA from 1 species
AAAAAAGAGGUUGAAUUGAACUAAAAUAGGAUGUUAAGACUGACAAGCAUUUAUCAUCCUUUUGAAAUGCACAGUGAAAUAUCCAUCUAUCAUAGCAUAUAGAUUCAUUAGCAUGUAUUUUUUCGGUUAAGUCAGUUGAUUAUGUAGAUGCUUGGCUGUGCAGUGACCCAUGAUGCAAGGUUUUAAUUCUGCUGAAAUUGAUCUGUUUUGGCCGAGAUUGAACUGAAAUGAACUCUUGUUUUGGCUGAAACUGACCUAAGCCAAAAGUAUAUAUAUUUUUUUAAAAAAGGUUUUCUUUUGAUGUUUGUGUCAUAUUGGGGUCA